GCCCCAGUAGCUCAGUUGUAUAGAGCGACCGCCUCCUAAGCGGCAGAUUGUUCGAUUCCUUCGAGCA
rnacentral:tRNA from 1 species